rnacentral:rRNA from 1 species
AUGAACGCUGGCGGCGUGCCUAAUCCAUGCCAGUCGAGCGAACAGACGAGGAGCUUGCUCCUCUGACGUUAGCGGCGGACGGGUGAGUAACACGUGGAUAACCUACCUAUAAGACUGGGAUAACUUCGGGAAACCGGAGCUAAUACCGGAUAAUAUAUUGAACCGCAUGGUUCAAUAGUGAAAGACGGUUUUGCUGUCACUUAUAGAUGGAUCCGCGCCGCAUUAGCUAGUUGGUAAGGUAACGGCUUACCAAGGCAACGAUGCGUAGCCGACCUGAGAGGGUGAUCAGCCACACUGGAACUGAGACACGGUCCAGACGCCUACGGGAGGCAGCAGUAGGGAAUCGUCCGCAAUGGGCGAAAGCCUGACGGAGCAACGCCGCGUGAGUGAUGAAGGUCUUCGGAUCGUAAAACUCUGUUAUUAGGGAAGAACAAAUGUGUAAGUAACUAUGCACGUCUUGACGGUACCUAAUCAGAAAGCCACGGCUAACUACGUG